GACGUGUUGGUGCUGAGUCAUCGCUGAGUGAUGCGGUCAGCAGGUGCAGUUCACCUUUGUGGGGCUCUGUGGGGGCCAUGUUGGAUCUUCUGGUCCCGUCCGUCUCUACAGAAAGAAAAGUUUGAGGUGAUACCUGAACGCAUCGCCACGAGGAGACGCAGCUAACA